UACAGAGGUCUCAAGCGUUGUUCGGAUUUACUGGGCGUAAAGGGCGCGUAGGCGGUCAGCACAAGUCAGUUGUGAAAUCUCCGGGCUUAACUCGGAAAGGUCAACUGAUACUGUGCGGCUAGAGUGCAGAAGGGGCAACUGGAAUUCUCGGUGUAGCGGUGAAAUGCGUAGAUAUCGAGAGGAACACCUGCGGCGAAGGCGGCCCUCUGGCUCGACCCUGACGCUGAGGCGCGAAGGCGUGGGGAGCGAACGGG
rnacentral:rRNA from 1 species